rnacentral:tRNA from 1 species
AGGGGAGUAGUUAAAAAUAACAUUUAUAUUGCAAAUAAAAAGUAUUGAAAAAAAUCAAUCUCCCUUA